rnacentral:piRNA from 1 species
UACAUGACCAGGGAGUAUCCCUCUCUGUU